AUGAAGGCAUUGAAAGCAAGGGCAUACAGGAAAUAUGAUGGUGUGAAAAAGUCCAGCAUGAACUCAGACAGGACACAGACCAGGACCAGAGCCUCAUGUAGACAGAGCUGCUGCAGAAGGAGCAAUGAGCAUGCCUGCACCCUUGAGAGACCUGAGGAGGAUGAAGGAAAAUACGGACAACUUGAAUCCAUGACAGUCUUCAGUCUAGGAUCAAGGCCUCCUCACAAAAGCCAUCUCCUUGUAGCUGAGAACUCAACAGACUGUCUGGAAUCAGUUGCGGCAUCACAGUCCUGUAACACCAGAACUCCCAGGCAGAGAUGGAUGUCUGCAAGUGCCAGGUGGCUUGGUCUACACAGUGUGAAAAAGUCCAGCAUGAACUCAGACAGGGAGACCUGAGGAGGAUGAAGGAAAAUACGGACAACUUGAAUCCAUGACAGUCUUCAGUCUAGGAUCAAGGCCUCCUCACAAAAGCCAUCUCCUUGUAGAUGAGAACUCAACGGGCAGCCACUUGACCGUCAACAACAACAACAACAACAACAACAACAAUAAUAAAGACUGUGGAUGUUGCUGCUGA
ensembl:lincRNA 4933413J09Rik RIKEN cDNA 4933413J09 gene